rnacentral:rRNA from 1 species
ACCUCUUACCAUUCCGAACAGAGAAGUUAAGCCCGUUUGCGCCGAUGGUACUGCAUCUCGUGGGAGAGUAGGUCGCCGCCUUCC